UGGAAUUACAGGCGUGAGCCACUGUGCCCAGCCACUUUUUUUUUUUUUUUAAAGCAAACCCUGAUCUCUUUCUUUGAAUUGGAACAUUUAGUCAAUUAAUAAUUAAUGCAAUUAUGGAUAUAUUUGAAUUUAAAUCUACCAUCUUACUACUUGUUAUUUAUUCCAUUUGUUCUGUCCCCUUUUUUUUCCUUUCUUGCCUUCUUUUGGAUUAUUUUUUAUUAUUCCAUUUCCUUCCUGCUAAUAACUUAAUGGAUAUAUAUUACUUUCUACCAUCAUAAAUGCUUUAUAACCAGUGUUCUAAUAAGUCAUCUAUUAAAAUUUUAUUUUACUUCUAACAGAUUGGAAUGAUAAAUGAGUCUGUUUUCUCAAUGGCUGGCAUAAUUUUGAUAGCAAGCUUUCCAAACAGCAGGACAUCACACCCCGACAACAGGACUCAUCUUCAGAGAAAAUUUAGUUAGAAUGACAGAGAAUUCCAGAAAAAUUACUGCAUACUCAGAGUGCCAAUUUUUCAGAACUUCACGCAAAAUGUUUAUUUGGCCACAACCUCAAAACUAUAUUCCCAACUUGUUUCUCAAGUUUCAUAUUAAUAUUUGUAAACUUAAAUUGUUAUUUAAAAUGACAUAUCUAUCUUUAAGAGCAACAGGGUUGAAACUAACAGUAACAUUAAGAUAACUUUCUAAAAUAUGUACAAAGCUUACAAUUUACAAAGUGCUUUCAGAGCUGUUUAAGCAGGAAUUUAUAAAUGCAAAGAAAAAACUUACCUGGAGAUGAAAAUGACUAAACUUGUGAAUGGUGAAAAUGUAAUUUUAGAAAAUAUAUAUUUACAUAUAGUAAAGCAUGGAAUAAGGCUCAACAUAUUUGAAAAACAGUGAGAGAUGACGAACAGAAAAAAGAAAAUGCCUCUUUAUUUACAUCCUUUAAGUAAUAUUCCCUUGAAAACAUUCCAAUUAGACCGCAUAAGAAAGCCUUGCCUACAUGUGGGUCAGCAAAUUAUAGCCUGUGGGCCAAAACUGGCCAUGCCCACUCAUUUCCUUACUGUCUGUGGCUGCUUUUGCGGCACAGUUGAAUAGUUGCAACAAGAGACUCUGUGGCUCAUAAACUGAAAAUAUUUACCAACUGACCCUUUAUAGAAAGAGUUUGUGGCUCCCCAGCCUACAAAAGACCUUCAUGUCUUCUAUUGGUCUGGGAAAAUCCUGUUCUUCAAGUUAUCUUUAGUCAUGCUAGAAAAGAAGCAAACUGGGAAGAGAAAGACAAGAGAAAUUCAUAGGGGAAAAAAAAUUAAAGACCAGACUUAAAGUUCCUGUGAGAAAAAAGGAAAAUGAAUUAUAAAUCUGUCAUAUUUAGAAGGACUAUGAAAAUGAUGUUAGAUAAAAAUUAAAUUCGAGCAAUUUUCUUGUUCGAGUUCAAAAUGGGUCAUAAAGCAGCAGAGACAACUUGCAACAUCAACAAUGCAUUUGGCCCAGGAACUGCUAAUGAACGUACAGUGCAGUGGUGGUUCAAGAAGUUUUGCAAAGGAAAGGAGGAAGAUGAGGAGUGUAGUGGCCAGCCAUCAGAAGUUGACAACAACCAAGUGGGAAAAAUCAUCAAAGCUCAUCCUUUUACAACUACAUGAGAAGGUGCCGAAGAGCUCACCAUUGAUCAUUCUACGGUCAUUUGGCAUUUGAAGGAAACUGGAAAGGUGAAAAAGCUCGAUAAGUGGAUGCCUCAUGAGCUGAACCAAAA